rnacentral:lncRNA from 1 species
UUAGGGUCACUCAACUAAUCGUAAUCCGAACCACUAAAAUGUUAAGAAACACUACAAUGCUUCCUCCCAGUAACAAUACUACUUCAUCAACUGAUAACAAUAGUGUGCAACCUUGCACUCUCAAAAGACUGCUCAAAAUUCAUAAAUUCCAUCUAACACUAAGAAUAAUAGACUUCACUCCAACUAAUCUGAAUCCACAGAAUUUCUAUAAUAACCAACUUCCUUUGUCCGAAACACACACACAACUCUCAAUAAACAACAAUCUUAAUCUUCCAUCCAUAAUCAAUCUUCUAAUAACUUCUCAUAUAAUUCAAAUACACAAUACUCCGAUUACAUAAUCAAUAACUCAUAAAUCAAUCCAUGAUUUAUUCCAUAGAC